CAAAGUGUAGCUUAACUAAAGCAUUCGGCUUACACCCGGAAGACUUCAUAUCACUAUGACCACUUUGA
rnacentral:tRNA from 1 species